UCAUUUUGUUUCCUGGGCAGCAACCAAAGUGGUUCUAGGCAGCUCCAAUAUUGGUUUCCGGUGGCGGAGGGCUCCGGUAACUACGAAACCUGAAGCAGAGGCUGAACAGAGCAGCACAGAGUAGUAUAGAGUAAGAGCAGCAACAGUU